CAGCAUUUCCUGCUCUUGACCACAACUUGGCCUUUCCCCUUGCUGUUAAGCUCGUCUUCUCUCAAGCCCUGACUCCAGCAGCGCCUGCAGCUGCUCCCUCCCAGCACAGAUGGGACUCAAGGUUGCCACUUAAUGGGAGAACAAGUGCACCAACGCAGCGCUCACAGGGCAAAGAAGAAAAGCAUUUAGGGACAGGGAACUGUGAAGUGGAGACCAGCCCUUCAGGACAUGAAAGCAGUGGGAAUGCACACUGCCUGCUGUAGGAUCCCAUCCCCGGUUUCUCAAAAGACAAUGGAAUCUCAGUAAAAGGCAGGUGUUGAACUGCCGGGAGGGAGGCAGAGGGAGAGCUCAGGGUGCUGGAAUGAGAGUGAGAACACUUCCGUGGCAGUGCCUGUCAUUACACACUUGUCAGGAUCCUCAGCCUUCCCAAUGCUGCAGCCCUUUAAUACGGCUCCUCAUGGCGUGAGGACCCCAACCAGAAAAUUAUUUUCGUUGCUACUUCAUGACUGUAAUUUUGCUACCGUUAUGGAUUGUAAUGUAAAUAUCAGAUAUGCAGGAGGCUCCUGUCCUCCUAACCGCUAUGGGUUCAUUCGGAGUCAUUUGUCUCACCCCACUCCUGCCAGGCCAGGCCUAGAAAGCACAAGGUCAUCUGAAUUUCUGGGCUUGCUAGUCAGUACUAGAAAGCUAAAUGGGGCUAAGCGAAGGAAGUCCCUGGGGUGGCCAUUUCCAUGGAUCCCAACAAACUUGAGGGUCCCAAGGUAGGCAUCUGGGACAGUAAGAGGACUUCUCAGAACAUUCUAUGACUAUAACCACUGAGGCCAGCAGGCACAAGGACAGAAGAGCUGCCCCCCACAUACAUACACCAGGCUGGUUCAUGCUGGGUGAGCCCAAUAGCUCAGCAGGUGACGGGGCUGGUGCAGCAGGCACCUUUCAUGGUCAGUCAGGAGAUCACCUUCCUCUAUAGACUACCAAAGUGCCAAGGGGUGGGUGAAAACUGGGGAGUGAAUGAUGUUGGGUUCAGGGACCACACAGGCAGUUCCGUGGUGUGGUGUGGUUCCAGCCAACUCUGAACAUGGUAUACACUGAGAUCUGAGCAUAAAGAGAGUCCAGGAGAGUCUAGGAGGAAAAUCUUGUGAGCACACGAGCUGUGUGUCCACUUGCGAGUGAGACUGUGACACAUACAUGAAACUCAUACUUCCAUGGUGCCUCUUACCCUGAGGACCUAUGCCUCCCUUUGCCUGACUCCUACUCUACCAAUCCUUUUUAGGUGACAUUCACCCAAGCCCUGUCCCUUGAACCCCUGCUGAUGGAGAACACACAGCAACACAGCCCCUGUGUCUCUGUCUCAACAGGAGAACUUCUCCAGAUUUCUGCCAAUACCUUCCAAUCUGAGGAACAAAAAGCAGUUAAUUCCCUGGACAGCAAAGACCUCUCAGAGUCCUUCCACCUUCUCAGGGACCCAAAGUGUGAGCCAGGGCUCUGGACCCAAGACCUCACCUCAUCUUCCAGAGAGAGAAAUGCAGCCAGAGAUCAAAAGUGGUACUGGACAAUCAGAUGAAUACUUUGGGGAUCAAGGACAGGCCCUAACCUUCAUCCAGUAACUGAUGGAAGCAGAUGCAGAGAUCCAGUCAAGCACUUGGCUG